AUGAGAAAGUUCCAUUAAUGUGCACGUAAAUUGAAUUGGGUCUCUAGGCCUGCCCUCUCUGAUGCCAUUUGGCUUUGCUUUGGGGGCAUAGAUCCGCAGCAAUACA